AUAUGUCAUGAACAAAAAGUAGAUAUUAUGGGUGAUGGUACAGUCUGAGACGGAAAAGUCAUUGGAGCCCAUCUUUUAGGGGCUAGCACACCAGUACAGGAUGGCUGGACUUGAGAAGUCACAGUACCAGUGGGUAGAAAGGGAUUGCUGUGUAGCAUACAGUAUAUAGUGCCAGACCAUGAAGAAAUGGAACACCUGAACUGGGAUGCUUGGCAGACAGGGGAUGGCUUUAUUGCAUGUGCAUCGAUUGUAUGAGUCGUUUUCUCUGAGUGUUCCUCAGAGCAUCAUGUUUGUAGAGCUCCUUUGCCAAGUUCUUGUUUGCCUCUUUCUGACAGGGAUUGCUGUGCAGCAUUUGGAGUGCUAGCUAUUAAUGCAAAGAAGGACCUGAACCGGGAUACUGGCAUUGCUGAAGUUUCUGGUGACCUACAAAACUCCUGUGCAUCAAGAUGCUGCUACAACCAGCAUCUAAACAUGAAGCUGG